UGCGUAGGUGGGCAAGUAAGUCAGUGGUGAAAUCUCCGGGCUUAACCCGGAAACUGCCAUUGAUACUAUUUGUCUUGAAUACUGUGGAGGUCAGCGGAAUAUGUCAUGUAGCGGUGAAGUGCUUAGAUAUGACAUAGAACACCAAUUGCGAAGGCAGCUGGCUACACAAAUAUUGACACUGAGGCACGAAAGCGGUGGGGAUCAAACA
rnacentral:rRNA from 1 species